CCUCAGGUCCCGUGCAAUUGGGAAAUGCUGAAUCCCGUCAGGUCCGGAAGGAAGCAGCGGUAGGCAUCAGAACAAUGUGCCGGUCAGCCUGGGGUCC
rnacentral:SRP_RNA from 1 species